AUGCAAGUCGAACGGUAGAGGGGGCAACCCCUUGAAAGUGGCGAACGGGUCGCAGUAAUAUAUCGGAACGUGCCCAGUCGUGGGGGAUAACGUAGCGAAAGUUACGCUAAUACCGCAUACGAUCUAAGGAUGAAAGCGGGGGAUCGCAAGACCUCGCGCGACUGGAGCGGCCGAUAUCAGAUUAGGUAGUUGGUAGGGUAAAGGCCUACCAAGCCAACGAUCUGUAGCUGGUCUGAGAGGACGACCAGCCACACUGGAACUGAGACACGGUCCAGACUCCUACGGGAGGCAGCAGUGGGGAAUUUUGGACAAUGGGCGAAAGCCUGAUCCAGCCAUUCCGCGUGCAGGAUGAAGGCCCUCGGGUUGUAAACUGCUUUUGUACAGAACGAAAAGGUUUCUACUAAUACUAGGAGCUCAUGACGGUACUGUAAGAAUAAGCACCGGCUAACUACGUGCCAGCAGCCGCGGUAAUACGUAGGGUGCAAGCGUUAAUCGGAAUUACUGGGCGUAAAGCGUGCGCAGGCGGUUAUAUAAGUCAGAUGUGAAAUCCCCGGGCUCAACCUGGGAACUGCAUUUGAGACUGUAUAGCUAGAGUACGGUAGAGGGGGAUGGAAUUCCGCGUGUAGCAGUGAAAUGCGUAGAUAUGCGGAGGAACACCGAUGGCGAAAGCAAUCCCCUGGACCUGUACUGACGCUCAUGCACGAAAGCGUGGGGAUCAAACAGGAUUAGAUA
rnacentral:rRNA from 1 species